AUCAUUAGCUUUUUAAUUGAAGGCUUGUAUGAAGGGUUGGACAAAGAAAAGACUGUUUCUUUUUUUAGAUUUGAAGUUAACUUUUAAAUGAAAAGGUUUAAAUAUAUUUAGGGGACGAUAAGCCCCUAUAAAUCUUUAUAUUAUAUUAUUUUUUUUUAAUUAAUAUUUGUCUAGAAUAUAAAAUAAAAUGAGAAAUAUUUUGUUGGGGUGACGAGAAUAUAAAUUUAACUGUUCUUAAGUGAAACAAAGUUAUUUGUUAGGGUUAAUAGAUCCUUUAUAGAGAUUCUGAGUUUAAGUUACUUUAGGGAUAACAGCGUUAUUUUUUUUGAGAGUUCAUAUCGAAAAGAAAGUUUGCGACCUCGAUGUUGAAUUAAAAUUUCUCUGUGGGGCAGUAGUUACAGGAAGAAAGUCUGUUCGACUUUUAAAAUUUU
rnacentral:rRNA from 1 species